GACGGAGGGUGCUAGCGUUGUUCGGAAUGACUGGGCGUAAAGGGCGCGUAGGCGGCUCGUGAAGUCGGGUGUGAAAGCCCUCAGCUCAACUGAGGAAGUGCGCCCGAAACUGCAGAGCUUGAGUGCCGGAGAGGGUGGCGGAAUUCCCCAAGUAGAGGUGAAAUUCGUAGAUAUGGGGAGGAACACCGGUGGCGAAGGCGGCCACCUGGACGGUAACUGACGCUGAGACGCGAAAGCGUGGGGAGCGAACAGG
rnacentral:rRNA from 1 species